AGUCUUCGCUUUGGGUUGCGAGGGGUGACUAGCUAGCUCAGAAGCGUAGCCAUCCUCUCUCCAUUGGUCGCUCGAAGCUGGACACUGUGCCUCACAUCUACAAACUUAGGAACUCUAGCUGUAUGGCGGCGCGUCUAGGGGAACCUCGUCGGCUCCGUGUGGAACCUGGGUGUUUUAAGUGUUCGUGCCGUUUCCUCAGGCUAAGCCGCGCUCGAACGGAUGCGGUGCUGGGGGUCACAAAAUGAGGUGCCACCCCCAAACAUUACGUCAUCGGGGUGACCAUUGCCUGGGGUUCCUCGCAGUCUAAACUGCUUUAUAAUCCGGAUGGAUGCGGUUCUGGCGUCCGCCUGCCUCUGGGCGUACGCACCACGCACGGCCCCUCCCUCUGCGGGAGAGCUGGACAGACUUUGGGAUUCCGAGUGUAAAAGAAACCGGAACCACCGAGACCUGAGACCUGGGACACGCUGCGACCGGAAGUGGGGGAGGUGACGUUGGGAAGUGCUGGCGUGGCCUGGGCCACAACCAAGGAGAGCUUAAGGUAGUAUGCUGAUAGGCUUCUUACGCGAGAGAAGGAGGGAGCCCAGAUCUAUUUCCCAUUUAAGAGAGCUCCCUUUUCUCCGCCCCUGACGGGAGCUGGCAUUACUGUUCCCGUUGAGCUUUCCCGCGCUUUGCUGCCCCGCCCCUUGGAGGUGGGAAAAGGGGCGGAGUCGCCAGGGAGACGAAUUGCCUUGACACUCACCCACCUGCGCUGGCUCAGGUUUUUGCUGGAUCCAUCUGCAGGCCCAGUGUGCCACCUGGCGCGCUCUCUACCCUGGCCCCGCGCCGCCGCCGCCCACCGCGACCGCAGCCGUUUCAAAUGACAAGGGUUUUUAAAUUUCUGUUUUAUUUUCACUUUUUGCAGUGUUCGGAGUGGAACCUAGUGCUUCACCCAGUCCAAGCAAGCAGCCCACCGACAUAGCAGCUUGGCGAGUGUUUUUGUUUUGUUUUGGCGAUACUGAUUAUUGGACGUUGGGAGUCGCACACGCUUGGCAGGUGCACUCGUAACACUGAAGCUACUCUAUACCCUAUCACUUUUUGGGACAGGGUUUCCACUAAGUUGUCCUGCCUGCCUAGUAACUAGGGCUACACUGUUGCGCCAUCAGGCCCAGGUUUGGGUAAAGCUUUUAAAAGAAGGCUCUGUUACCUCCCCUUGGACUCCCAUAGCAGUGGAUCCAAAAAAUUCAGGCUUAUGUAUGGGAGGAAUCUUGGAACCACUACAUUCCACAUGAUGACAUCAGACAAAUCGUUCUACCUCCCUAAACCUAUUGUCUCAUGAAUAAAAUGGUAACUAUAAUAUC
rnacentral:lncRNA from 1 species